rnacentral:misc_RNA from 1 species
AUAUAUAUAUCAAACCUUCUCUUUGUUGAGCGGUUUUGGAUGUGGGGGUUUGCUGGCCUCUUAAAAAGGGUUCAGCUCCUCUGAAAUGCAUUAGCAGAACAAACCUGUUCAUUGGUGUGAUAACUAUCUACGCUAUUGAAUGUAAGGGGCAGUUUCAGCUCUCUAAUGGUCCUCGGACAAUUCAUCAUUA